GUGAGGAUACGCAGGACGUCCUCUACGGCCACUUCCGUGGAUCUAGGUUAGAGGCGGGGGGUGGUGCUGACCUUGAGAGCGCGUCGGGGAGGCGCAGGCGCAGCCCAGAGCAACUGGGGAACCUAAUUCUGACCAACAAGGAAGAAUUGCUUGGCUAAUUGGAAGUGACAGAAACCUUGGGAGAAAACAACCACAUACUGAGGAUAAUUAUCAGAAGGUAACAUGGGCCCUAAAGGAUAGUGUCAAGAAACCUGAAGCCCCCAAAUGAGAGCCCUGUGGCAUCACCUUGAGAUGGAGACACCAGAAGAAGCAAGUGAUCUGGCAUGUUGAGCUGCUAUAUGAAGAGCUGCUGUGGAGAAGCUCCUGGACUCUUAGCAAAGUUGCCUGAGUAAGACAUUUUACAUGCUAAACCUCUGAGAUUUUGGUAUCAUUUAUCACUGCAGCAUUAUCUAGCCUUUCCUGGCAGAUAGAAUCUGUAUACUAACUUUGACUAUAUUAAAAGUUUUGUAGUCAUUUGUGCUUUCUAUACAGCAGAUGAAUAGCUGUAUAUAAGUUGUCAGCUUAUCCAAUAAGAAAAUAUUUAAUAUGAUAAACAUUUCAAUUAAUAACUUAUUCUGUUAGUCUCUAUCGUCAACUUAAGAUCUCAAAUUUCUAAUCUAAAUGAAUAAUAAUGCUUUUAAUUAUAUAUUCCUUUAUCUCGAAUUUAUACCUUGUAUUAAUCGUUACCAACCAAUAAAAAAGGAUACAUUUGUUUAUGCAGUCUUUCAAUUCACUAAAUAAGCAUGGAUGUUUCUGGUCAUGUUUCCUGGGAAGAAGACCCUGAGAUAGAGAUUUGCAUGCAGAAAAAUUUGUUAGGGACUUCUUUUGGAAUUAACAUUUGUGGUGCAAUAUGGGAUUGGGCAGAGAGAGAAAUUGGGCUGUGAUAUAGUUACAACAAAACCUAAGCCAGUCCUACGGGUUGCUCCAAAGCUAGAGGGGCCCUUCAGAGGUGUUCUAAGUUGACACAAGGGGGCUGGGCCUUUGCAUACCCAUCAGUGACCAGUCAUUGGAUACAAACUGCCCCCAGGGACUAAAUGCGACCUAACGUAAUUCCUGGAUAGAGCUGACAGCUUGAGGGGCUGUGAGCCAACAGCAUUCAUAGCAGCUGGACAAACAAGUCCUUCAGUCCUGAAGAGGAAUCUGGUGUUGGUGGAAUCCAUCUCAGUGUUCAAUACAACUGAUAAUCCACUGAAUCAAUAGAUGGACACAGGACAUUUUAGGGAUCAAACCUUGGUGCCUUUCCUAAGAAUACAGAUUAUAGUGCUUGCUAAAUUUCUAAACCCUAUUCUGCAAAAGUGGAAUGUCUAAAAUAUAUUAGCUAAUCCACAUACCUUAAACAACACUAAUUUCACCAAUGAAAACCCAUUGCUAAUAGUCAUUAUGUUAAUUAACAAAAUUCCAGUGUUGUUCAAGACAAAUAUGACUAAAGCAUUUGUCACAGCUUCCUCUGGAUUCUUCCUGUCUGAAUCUUGUCUCUAAAUAUUACCAUAUCUGCCUUAAGUGAACUUUUCAUGCAUGUCGUAGUCAUAUAUGGUAGCCAGUCUUCAAAUUUUCCCUCAACUACCUUAAUACCAAUGAUCCUUAGUAUUCAUCUCUUUGUGUAGUUCCCUCCCACAUUGAAUAGAGAUGACUUGUGUAACCAAUAAGAUAUUCUGGAAAUGAAGACAGAGGACUGCCAAGGCUAAAUCUUAAAAGACAUUGCAGACUCUGCCUUGUUCUCUCUUGGAUCAUCUAUUCUGAAGGAAGACAGCCAUCAUGUUGUGAAGCUGUUCAAGCAACCUUAUGGAGAGAUCCACAUGGGAAGGAACUCAAGUCUCUUUUUAGACACUAGACAAUACUAACUUGCCAGCCAUAUGAGGGAGCCAUCUUGGAAGCAGCUCCUCCAGCCCCAGUCAAGUCUUCAGGUAACAACAACAGCACCAGCCAACAUCUUGACUCAUGAGAGACCCUGAACCAAAACUACCCAGCCAACUUGACCUAGGCCUGAUCUACAGAAACUGAGAUAAUACAUAUUUAUUGUUGUUUUAAGCAGCUAAAUUAGGGGUAAUUUGUUAUGCAGCAAUAAAUACAUCAUAUGUACAUCACAGUAUAUAAAAAGGACAGGGAUCUGGAACUUAAUUGAGGUUAUAGAAGAGAUUGUAUCAACUGUUGUAUGUAUGUUUCCUUGUUAAUAACUAUUUAUUUAAAAAAUGUCUGUUUAAUGGACAAAGAGAUCAGACUACUGGUUACCAGAGGGGAAAGGGGGUUAGUGGGGUGGGCGUAAGGGUUAAAGGGACACAUAUAUAUGGUGACGGACAAAUUACAACGUACAACUGAAAUUUCAUAAUGUAAUAAACUAUUAUGACUUCAAUAAAAAAAGUGUGGUAAACAAAUACAUAUAUUUGCUUGAAAAAAAAAUGUCUGUUUAUAUGACAGAAUUUGGUCUGAGACUUGCUUUUAUUGUAACUUAGUAGCAAGGCUUUGUCAAAGUAACCACCCCCCUCACUUAUCUCAAAAAUUGGUGGCUACUUUUAUCCGUCAAAAAGAACAAAACAGUUAUGCAUGACCAAAUUAGCUUAGAUUGUUUUGCGAGACAGUCCUAUUGAUUUUUCUGCCUACUAUAGCUUGAUUCUAUUCACCUCUCUUUAUCACCAUCAUCCAUCCAGUCCAGGCUAACUUCAUCUCUCACCUGGACCACUACAACAAUCUUCCUCUCAUUUAUUCAUAUUCAUUGGUCCUAUUCCAUCCCAUUGUCAAAAUUAAAGGUAGAGUGAUCCUUUAAAAACACAAAUCUAUUCAUGUAAUUCUACCACCACACCUGACUCCAUUUGAUAUCUUACAGUGCUUGGAAAAGACCAUAAGGCAAAGACAUAACUUAGCAUGGCCUACAAAAACCCUGCCAGGUAUGGACCUACGAACCUUUUGAGCGAGGUCUUGCACUCAUCUCCUUCAUGCUAUCUGUGAUCCCACCACACUGGCCUUCCUUCAAUUACUAGUACUCUUACGGUUCCCACUCACCACAGAGGAUUUGCAUGUAGUCUUUCUUCGGCCUUGAAAUAUCUUCCUUUUCCUCUUUGUCUAGUUCAAGUCUGCCUAUCCUUCAUGUCUAGUGCAUAUGUCAAAUCCUCAGCAAAACUUUCCCCAAUCUCCCUAAUUUACUCCUAUAGCAUUAUACAUCCCUCCUCUGUGCACCUAUCACAUUGAAAUAUUACAUUUGUUUGUGUAAUUAUUUGAUUAAUGUUUGUGUUCAGUGCUAAACCUUACAUUCUAUAAGAGCAAGUACCAUAUCUGGUUUAACUUAUUCAUGUAUGCCCUGGAGCCUACCACAAUGCUGAGAACAUAGUGCAUAUUUGCUAAAUAUUUGAUUAAGGUCUAGAUAACUGAUUAAUUAAUUGAAAGAACUCAGGUGUCUACGAAUGUUGCUUCAAAGCCAGAGUACCUAGGUUCAAAUUCUGGCAGUUUUUAACUGUGUAAUAUUAGGAACAGUUUUACCUCAUUGUUCCUUAGAUUUAUCCUCUGUAAAUUGGGAAUAAUAAUUACCUUAUAGGGUUUUGCAAGGACUAAAUAAAUUAAUAUACGUUAAGGACUUAAAGCCAUUCCUGACACAGUAAGUACUAUAUAUGGCAGCUGCAAGAACAAUUAUUAUUAAUAUAUUUGUUCCUUUUGUCAUGCUAGUCCCUCAGGCCAUGGCCCCGAGUUCCUUGGAUAAGUUCAUUCUUUUCUUGUACAUAUCAAAUUUCAAGUGUCUAUGUAAAAACAAGAAGCUGUGUCAAAGAAUGCAGAGUUUAUGUCUUUUGACAUAAUUGAAUGCAGAGUUUAUGUCUUUUAGGCUUGUCUGGUUUUGACUAAAGUGUAAGGAUGCUAAUGUUAACCACCAUAUCAUUGGUGUUUAUUUGGUAAUUUACUAUUUAUGCAAAAAGACCAAGGAAGCAGAGCUUGUAUUAAAUGAGAGUCUCAGAGAGUUCUAUACCUAUCUUUUGCUAGGGCACAGUUUACACACCAAAAAGAAUUCAACCCACCAUCUCUCUCUGAGUUUUUUGCAUUGUUUACUUACUUGUACUUCACAUAAUGGCAACAUAUUAACACAAUAUAUAGUACUAUUGAUCUCUUUGGAUUAUGGACCUUCCAUACUCUGAGGUGCUGACUUUAAACUGACUUUGCAGUAAAAGCUGCAGCUUUGUAAUUUUUGAACACCGUAUGUUAUAAACUGUUGAAAUGAUGUCUCUUCUUAUUUGACAGUGGGAACAUUCUUCACACUCAGUGCAAGACAGCAGUGGUUGGACCUUGUUUAGCUGCUAAUGCUUUCUACAGAAGUUGUGAAUGCUGGCAUUUUAUUAUAUUCUGGAUCUCCACCUACAAACAGGUCCAUUGUAAACUGCCAUUAAUUUGGGCAAUAGGUCAUCAGCCAAAGGGUUGUUAUAGAUAAGUGUUGCCAGUGAUGCAUUCUAUUCUUUGUUUACUACCAACAAUGGAAAACACUUUGUACUUUCCAGAGAAACAGAUCACCCAGUUCUUGCAACUUAUGUCAUUUCAGUCUGGGAGGAAAAAAAAAAAGAGAACUCUUUUCAAGCUUUGCCAGUUCCUCCUGGCUUUUUGAGAAGCAGCUACCUCUGAAAGAAAAUAGAUCAAAGUUACAUGGGACUAAGGAUGGAUCAGAUAGCUAUAUUUGUAGUAUGUUGAAAACAGAACUAGCUUUACUGGAAAAGAAAUCAUGUGUUAGAGUUAUAAGGAGCAGAGAAAAGGUUAGAGGGAAGGUUACUAGCCUGAAAAACCAACCUUCAUUUCUCUACCAAGUUUGUCAGACCUUAAAAUUCCACCAUUAGAAAUUCAUUUGUAUGCAUUUUAAAAGAUAAUUCCUUAAAGCAGUUAACUGUGGAAAAAAGUGAAUUCUCUCUGAAUUCUUUUUCCUGAGAGUGAAUUUUGAAAGCACUGAGACCAAGAAGUAACCUAGCUCCUGAAAGCUCCAGUUUGACUACAGGAGUGCUGUGGAGAGAAAAGGUUGGAAGAGCACUAGACUAUGUUCAAAGAGAGGCUACAGGGAAAACUCAGGCCAUGGAAAAUGGUGAUUUCAAUGUGUGAUGACUAUGAGGAGAAACAGAAAAAAGAAGUGGAUUUUUUUUUUUCAUUUGCUGCUCUAGGCAUUUACCAUAGAACAAAGAAAAUACAUUACUAUAUGAUGAGAUAGAAUGAAAGUGACACUCAGACAAAGUAGGAGGGUCAUUCCCCUGUCAUGCCUAGAAUGUGAAACAGCUUCGCUGUCUUAAAUAUCCUGGUCAUUAAUUCUUUUCUGACCAUAUUCCUCCUAAAUUAAUUCUCUACUUGUAUAGUGAUUAGUAUAUUCAGAGCACCUUGAGGGUAAUACAAAAUUUUAAGUUUUCUGACUUUGAAGCGCUCACCACGUGUCCUUUCUCCUAGUAAUUCACUCAUCAAUGCACAUAUUGUUUACCUGUUAGAUUGAAUAUGAUAGAUUGAGGCUCCCUCCAUUAAUAAGUGAGGAAACACAGGCGCCUUUGUCUUGUAGUUAGGAACCAAGGAAUGUACAGAAAGUAAUGGUAGGAUGAACAGAUAAAGGAGGCUGCUGCAGAUUUAUAGACUUUAUUAUUAUAUGCUUGAUAUUUGCCAGUUGAAGUAUAAAGGAAAAACUAUGUGUGUGAAAAAUCUAUCACCUUGUGAGGAACAAAGGAAUUUUGUGGCAGGACAACAAUUUGUUAGUGGAUGGAGGGGAAUCAGAAAUGAUAGGAGCAGAGGGAUGGUAUCAAUUUACAUCCCACCAGCAAUGUGCAAGAGUAGUAGCAUACGAUUUUGAAAACUUUAGUGUGUGGUGGUAUCUGACAAUGGUUUUAAUUUGCGUUUCUCUCAUAAAUAACAAUAUUGAAUCUUUUUUAAUAUGUUUGCUGACCAUUUAGACAUCUACAUUUUUGGAGUGUCUAUUCAAGUCUUUUGCCCAUUUUUCAAAACAUUGAGUUGUUUGUCCUUCUCUUUUUGAUUUAUAGUAGUGCUUUAAAUGUGUUGUAUGUGAGUCCUUUGUCAAUAGUUGUUUUACAUUUUUCUUCUCUUACUCUGUGGAUUUUUCUUUCAUUUUCUUAAAGGUGUCUUUUGAUGAACGAAAGUUCUUAAUUUUAAUGAAGUCUAUUUUAUCAGUCCUUCUUUCAUGGUUAGUGCUUUUUGUAUUUUAAGAAAAUGUUGCCUGCUUUAAGGUCAUGAAGAUAUUCUCCUAUGUUUGUUGUUUUACCCUUCACAUUAGAUCUUUGAUCCAUUUUGAGUUAAUUUAGUGUAUAAUGUGAGGAAGGCAUCAGGAUUCAUUUUUUCCCAUGUAGCUACCCAAUUGAUCUGGAACCAUUUAUUGAAAAGAUCAUCCUUUCCUCCACUGACUUGCACCUUUAUCAUAAAUAACGUAAUUGUAUAUGUUUGAUGACUUCCCCUAAAUAUUCUAUUAAACAUAUUAAUUAUUUGAGUGAAUAAUUCAAUUAAUAUUGUACAAUUGGUGAACAAUUUCUCAAUUGGUAAAAACAUCAAACACAAAGAAAUGAAGAAACUAAGUUCAAAAGGACAUAUAACAUACAUGGUGAAGAAUAGAAGUAAAUGUACCUUCCACCCUGUUCCUCAGUGCUCCAUUUCUUUCUCCAGAAGCAAGCCAAGUGUCAGUACCCAGAUAUGCCAAACAUCUCUGCUUAACAUUUUGGGGUCCUGAAAAAGAAAGCUCCUUAUCCCCAAAGUCUGCUCCCUGAUUCUAAUGUAGUGAAUUCUCUAGGUGAUUCUGAUAUUAACUGUCUCUGUUGUUCUGAUACUGAGUGUAUCUCAACAUAAUUUAGAAGUCCAUUAUCCUUCAUUCUUUUAGAAAGCAUAUAGCUGGAUUUUUUAAAAGCCCAAUUAGACAAGGGCUUUAUUUUAUUAGAGGGAUUUAACUUAUUUGUAUUUAUUGUG